UACGGGGGGGGCAAGCGUUGUUCGGAAUUACUGGGCGUAAAGGGCUCGUAGGUGGCCAACUAAGUCGGACGUGAAAUCCCUCAGCUUAACUGGGGAACUGCGUCCGAUACUGGAUGGCUUGAGUUUGGGAGAGGGAUGCGGAAUUCCAGGUGUAGCGGUGAAAUGCGUAGAUAUCUGGAGGAACACCGGUGGCGAAGGCGGCAUCCUGGACCGAUACUGACGCUGAGGAGCGAAAGCCAGGGGAGCAAAGCGGG
rnacentral:rRNA from 1 species